rnacentral:rRNA from 1 species
AGCGAACGCUGGCGGCAGGCCUAACACAUGCAAGUCGAACGAACUCUUCGGAGUUAGUGGCGGACGGGUGAGUAACACGUGGGAACGUGCAUUUUGGUUCGGAAUAACUCAGGGAAACUUGUGCUAAUAACGAAUGUGCCCUUCGGGGGAAAGAUGUAUCGCCAUUAGAGCGGCCCGCGUCUGAUUAGCUAGUUGGUGAGGUAACGGCUCACCAAGGCGACGAUCAGUAGCUGGUCUGAGAGGAUGACCAGCCACACUGGGACUGAGACACGGCCCAGACUCCUACGGGAGGCAGCAGUGGGGAAUCGUGCGCAAUGGGCGAAAGCCUGACGCAGCCAUGCCGCGUGAAUGAUGAAGGUCUUAGGAUUGUAAAAUUCUUUCACCGGUGACGAUAAUGACGGUACCCGGAGAAGAAGCCCCGGCUAACUUCGUG